rnacentral:hammerhead_ribozyme from 1 species
AUCCGGCUGAUGAGACCAAAAUAGAACGAAAUGCGCAUCCUGAAU